rnacentral:rRNA from 1 species
AGAGUUUCAUCCUGGCUCAGGAUGAACGCUAGCGGCAGGCCUAACACAUGCAAGUCGAACGGUAACAGCAGAGCUUGCUCUGGCUGACGAGUGGCGCACGGGUGCGUAACGCGUAUGCAACUUACCCCAAACUGGAGAAUAGCCUUUCGAAAGGAAGAUAAUACUCCAUAGUAUUUCCCCAUGGCAUCAUGGGGUUCUUAAAGCUUCGGCGGUUUGGGAUGGGCAUGCGUUCUAUUAGUUAGUUGGUGAGGUAACGGCUCACCAAGACCACGAUAGAUAGGGGGCCUGAGAGGGUUAUCCCCCACACUGGUACUGAGACACGGACCAGACUCCUACGGGAGGCAGCAGUGAGGAAUAUUGCACAAUGGACGAAAGUCUGAUGCAGCCAUGCCGCGUGCAGGAUGAAUGCCCUACGGGUUGUAAACUGCUUUUAUAUGGGAAGAAACCGUUCUACGUGUAGAACCUUGACGGUACCAUAUGAAUAAGGAUCGGCUAACUCCGUGCCAGCAGCCGCGGUAAUACGGAGGAUCCAAGCGUUAUCCGGAUUUAUUGGGUUUAAAGGGUUCGUAGGCGGAUUAAUAAGUCAGAGGUGAAAUCCUGCAGCUCAACUGUAGAACUGCCUUUGAAACUGUUAGUCUUGAGUAUAGUUGAAGUAGGCGGAAUGUAACAUGUAGCGGUGAAAUGCAUAGAGAUGUUACAGAACACCGAUUGCGAAGGCAGCUUACUAAACUAUCACUGACGCUGAUGAACGAAAGCGUGGGGAGCGAACAGGAUUAGAUACCCUGGUAGUCCACGCCGUAAACGAUGAUAACUCGUUGGUGGCGAUAUACAGUCACUGACCAAGCGAAAGUAUUAAGUUAUCCACCUGGGGAGUACGCCGGCAACGGUGAAACUCAAAGGAAUUGACGGGGGCCCGCACAAGCGGUGGAGCAUGUGGUUUAAUUCGAUGAUACGCGAGGAACCUUACCUGGGCUUAAAUGUAGUUUGACCGGUCUAGAAAUAGGCCUUCCCUUCGGGGCAGAUUACUAGGUGGUGCAUGGUUGUCGUCAGCUCGUGCCGUGAGGUGUUAGGUUAAGUCCUGCAACGAGCGCAACCCCUAUUCUUAGUUGCCAGCGGUUCGGCCGGGGACUCUAAGAAGACUGCCAGCGCAAACUGGGAGGAAGGUGGGGACGACGUCAGGUCAGUAUGGCCCUUACGCCUAGGGCUGCACACGUACUACAAUGCCCAGCACAAUGAGAACCAAGACCGCGAGGUGGAGGAAAUCUAUAAAACUGGGCCCAGUUCGGAUUGGAGGCUGCAACUCGCCUCCAUGAAGUCGGAAUCGCUAGUAAUGCCGUAUCAGCUACGACGGCGUGAAUACGUUCCCGGGUCUUGUACACACCGCCCGUCACAUCAUGGAAGCCGGUCGCACCCGAAGUGUAUCCUAAGGUGAGGCUGGUAACUGGGAUGAAGUCGUAACAAGGUAA